rnacentral:rRNA from 1 species
AACGAACGCUGGCGGCAUGCCUAACACAUGCAAGUCGAACGAGACCUUCGGGUCUAGUGGCGCACGGGUGCGUAACGCGUGGGAACCUGCCCUUAGGUUCGGAAUAACUCCCCGAAAGGGGUGCUAAUACCGGAUAAUGUCUUCGGACCAAAGAUUUAUCGCCUUUGGAUGGGCCCGCGUUGGAUUAGCUAGUUGGUAGGGUAAAAGCCUACCAAGGCGACGAUCCAUAGCUGGUCUGAGAGGAUGAUCAGCCACACUGGGACUGAGACACGGCCCAGACUCCUACGGGAGGCAGCAGUGGGGAAUAUUGGACAAUGGGCGAAAGCCUGAUCCAGCAAUGCCGCGUGAGUGAUGAAGGCCUUAGGGUUGUAAAGCUCUUUUACCCGGGAUGAUAAUGACGGUACCGGAAGAAUAAGCUCCGGCUAACUCCGUG